rnacentral:rRNA from 1 species
UACGUAGGGGGCAAGCGUUGUCCGGAUUUAUUGGGCGUAAAGAGCGUGUAGGCGGCCAAGCAGGUCUGCUGUGAAAACUCGAGGCUCAACCUCGAGACGUCGGUGGAAACCGUUUGGCUAGAGUCCGGAAGAGGAGAGUGGAAUUCCCGGUGUAGCGGUGAAAUGCGCAGAUAUCGGGAAGAACACCCGUGGCGAAGGCGGCUCUCUGGGACGGUACUGACGCUGAGGUGCGAAAGCGUGGGGAGCAAACAGG